rnacentral:rRNA from 1 species
CCCUUAGAUGUUCUGGGCCGCACGCGCGCUACACUGACGAAUGCAACGAGCUUAUAACCUUGGCCGAAAGGUCUGGGUAAUCUCCAAAUUUCGUCGUGAUGGGGAUAGAUUAUUGCAAUUAUUAAUCUUCAACGAGGAAUGCCUAGUAAGCGCAAGUCAUCAGCUUGCGUUGAUUACGUCCCUGCCCUUUGUACACACCGCCCGUCGCUCCUACCGAUUGAAUGGUCCGGUGAAACCUCGGGACGGCGGCUUGGUCGCUUGCGUCCGACUGCUGAAACUUGAUUAAACCAUAUCAUUUAGAGGAAGGUGAAGUCGUAACA